UGAGGAAUAUUGGUCAAUGGACGCAAGUCUGAACCAGCCAAGUAGCGUGCAGGAUGACUGCCCUAUGGGUUGUAAACUGCUUUUAUAUGGGGAUAAAGUUGGGAACGUGUUCCCUUUUGCAGGUACCAUAUGAAUAAGGACCGGCUAAUUCCGUGCCAGCAGCCGCGGUAAUACGGAAGGUUCGGGCGUUAUCCGGAUUUAUUGGGUUUAAAGGGAGCGUAGGCCGUUUGGUAAGCGUGUUGUGAAAUGUAGGAGCUCAACUUCUAGAUUGCAGCGCGAACUGUCAGACUUGAGUGCGCACAACGUAGGCGGAAUUCAUGGUGUAGCGGUGAAAUGCUUAGAUAUCAUGAAGAACUCCGAUUGCGAAGGCAGCUUACGGGAGCGCAACAGACGCUGAAGCUCGAAGGUGCGGGUAUCGAACAGG
rnacentral:rRNA from 1 species